rnacentral:misc_RNA from 1 species
GAUGAAGAACGCAGCGAAAUGCGAUAAGUAAUGUGAAUUGCAGAAUUCAGUGAAUCAUCGAAUCUUUGAACGCACAUUGCGCCCCUUGGUAUUCCGAGGGGCAUGCCUGUUCGAGCGUCAUUAUAACCCUCAAGCUCAGCUUGGUGUUGGGGCCUGCUGCACUGGCAGCCCUUAAAAUCAGUGGCGGCGCCAUCUGGCUCUAAGCGUAGUAAUUCUUCUCGCUAUGGAGUCCUGGUGGAUGCUUGCCAUCAACCCCCAAUUUUUCUAUGGUUGACCUCGGAUCAGGUAGGGAUACCCGCUGAACUAAAGCAUAUCAAUAAGCGGAGGA